AUGCACGCUGGCGGCGUGCUUAACCCAUGCAAGUCGAACGAUGAAGCCCAGCUUGCUGGGUGGAUUAGUGGCGAACGGGUGAGUAACACGUGAGUAACCUGCCCUUAACUCUGGGAUAAGCCUGGGAAACUGGGUCUAAUACCGGAUAGGAGCGUCCACCGCAUGGUGGGUGUUGGAAAGAUUUAUCGGUUUUGGAUGGACUCGCGGCCUAUCAGCUUGUUGGUGAGGUAAUGGCUCACCAAGGCGACGACGGGUAGCCGGCCUGAGAGGGUGACCGGCCACACUGGGACUGAGACACGGCCCAGACUCCUACGGGAGGCAGCAGUGGGGAAUAUUGCACAAUGGGCGCAAGCCUGAUGCAGCGACGCCGCGUGAGGGAUGACGGCCUUCGGGUUGUAAACCUCUUUCAGUAGGGAAGAAGCGAAAGUGACGGUACCUGCAGAAGAAGCACCGGCUAACUACGUG
rnacentral:rRNA from 1 species